rnacentral:rRNA from 1 species
GCGCGGAACCUCUGCAAUGCGCGAAAGCGUGACAGGGGAAUUCUGAGUGAUACACCACGCGUGUAUCUUUUGCCAAGUCUAGACAGCUUGGAGAAUAAGAAGCGGGUAAUACCAGUGCCAGCCGCCGCGGUAACACUGGAGCUUCGAGUGGUAUCCACGUAUAUUGUGUUUAAAGAGCCCGUAGCCGGUUUGUUAAGUUCUCUGUGAAAUCCUUACGCUUAACGUAAGGGCGUGCAGGGAAUACUGGCAGACUCGAGAGCGGGGGAGGUCAGGAGUACUCAUGGGGUAGGGGUAAAAUCCGUUAAUCCUAUGAGGACUACCAGUGGCGAAGGCGCCUGACCAAAACGCGUCUGACGGUGAGGGACGAAGGCUAGGAGAACGAAUCGGAUUAGAUACCCCUGUAGUCCCUGAGCGGGCUGGCAAGGCGCAU